rnacentral:rRNA from 1 species
UACGGAGGGUGCAAGCGUUGUCCGGAAUUACUGGGCGUAAAGGGCUCGUAGGCGGCCAACUAAGUCAGACGUGAAAUCCCUCGGCUUAACCGGGGAACUGCGUCUGAUACUGGAUGGCUAGAGUUUGGGAGAGGGAUGCGGAAUUCCAGGUGUAGCGGUGAAAUGCGUAGAUAUCUGGAGGAACACCGGUGGCGAAGGCGGCAUCCUGGACCAACACUGACGCUGAGGAGCGAAAGCCAGGGGAGCAAACGGG